GGACUACCCGGGUAUCUAAUCCCGUUUGCUCCCCUGGCUUUCGUGUCUCAGCGUCGGCACAACCCCAGCAGCCUGUUUUCACCUUCGGCGUUCCAAGCGAUAUCUACGCAUUUCACCGCUCCACCGCUUGUUCCGGCUGCCCCUAGUUGGCCCAAGACGCCCAGUAUGCCCAGCAGUUCCACGGGUGAGCCGUGGGAUUUCACAAGACACUUAGGCGUCCGCCUACACACGCUUUAAGCCCAGUGAUUCCGCCUAACGCUUGAGGCCUCUGUCUUACCGCGGCUGCUGGCAC
rnacentral:rRNA from 1 species